AGGUUCUUCAAAGGUUCUGAAAUGAUGGUAAAGGUUCUAUAUAGAACCAUAGCUUACUGAAGAACCAUUUUUUGCUGAAAUGGUUCUUUGUCUUGGCAAAAGGGUUCUUUAUUUCCCUCCUUUUUGGAUUUUAAAUUGAGUCAGUUAUUUUCAAGCUGCCUCCUGAUUAAUUUCACCUGUAAAGCUCUGAAUCAUCAGUCCUGCUGAACUGCCUGCAGACUAACAUCACAAACAGGUAAGAGAGGAAAAUAAUCAUCAUUUACUGUUAAAACAUUUUGAAAAUUGAAGUUUUGUGUGUUCUUAUUGUAAUUUAUUUAUUUUAUAACAGGUAAGCUUUAUACUGUAAGCUUCAUUCCCUUUAAAGCAGGUAAGCUUCAUACUGUUUUAAAUGAUAGAAGACUCUGCUUUAACAAUGACUUAAGAUAAUGAUUUGUUAAAGUGUUCAAAAGCAUAUACAUGUAUAUUUUACAUUAAGUUUAUUAAACUAAUUAUGAAAAGAAUGUGGUACAACAUGUAUUUAGUUUUUUUAUUGAUAUUUCAGAGUUUUUAUAUGUGAGGUAAUCUUGCUGGGAGUGAAGGCAGUGCAUGGCGUAUGAAUGCUUGAUAUGAGAGACACAUGCUGUAAAGGUCAACUUUAUACUGUAAGCUUCAUUCCAUUUAUAGCAGUUUUCAUAUGUGAUGUCAUCUUACUGGGAGUGAAGGCAGUGCGUAUGACCGCUUGAUACGAGAGACAAAUUCUAUUUUUAAAGGUCAACAUACUGUAAGCUUCAUUCCUUUUAAAGCAGAGUUUUCGUAUGUGAGGUAAUCUUUCUUAUGCUGGGAGUGAAGGCAGUGCGUAUGACCGCUUGAUAUGAAAGACACAUCCUGUUUUUAAAGGUGGAUCAUGAGUGAAGCUCUGCGGGUCUGCCAUUGGCUUGAUAACAGUGGUUUAUGUGAAUUGAGUGAAUUCAAUUUAUAAAUAAAUCUUUCACCAAGCAUUCACCUAUUUACGGACAAAACAGAUCCAAAUCUUGUUCAGCCUGAUGCUCAACCUUGUAUGAUGAUGACCACAGCCAGGUGAUGGAGAGCUGUGUUAAUCACAGCCUGCGUCUUAAGAUCAACAUGACAAUAGCAGACCAUCUCUUAUCUUACUCUUAUCUGACUAAAACCCCAUUCACACAGACCUCUGGUCCCAGAAAAUACCCGUAAAAUUGCCAGACAAGCGUCUGUGUGAACAAAAACUCGUUCCAUUAAUCUUCUGGGAUCGUUGCCGGAAAGAGGACCUAGUAAGAUACGCGGGUAACCCUCUGUGUGAACAAGAAUGCCGUAAUGGGCGUGUCGAAGUGAGGACGCGCGCGUCAUCAUCACAACACAAGUUAUGGUUCAGCUCCUUACAACGAGAGAUAACAUGCAUAUAAACAUUCACCAUGAGAAAUGUUGCAAACUAGAUUAAAGCAGUUAUCAGGAAAUGAUAAAUGAGACGCAUAAACAAUGAG